rnacentral:lncRNA from 1 species
UCUUGCUCUUGCUCUCUUGCCCUUCUGCCUUUUGCCAUGAGAUGACACCAGAUGCAGACCCCUCAACCUUGUACUCCUCAGUCUCCAGAACUGCGGUGGGAGAAGCAUGAAAUGCAUUUGCAGUGGCCUUGGGCCAUUGGUGGUGUCCGCAGGUGAGACAUCUCGAGUGCCUCAUGGACAAACUUCCUCAUGGAAUCCACUGGAGCAAUUAUGAGAGUCCACGGCCUCUCUUCUCUGGUUCUACCCUCUCCCAAUCUCUCACCUGUGCCGAUCACCUCAGUAAUUUGGGACCAGAAAAUCUUUCUCUUCCAGUCAGUGUCAUUCAUUUAUGACCAGCGGUUGAAUCCAGUCAUAAAAUCUGAAGCUCCUGGGUACCUCUACAUCACUGGGCCUAUGAUACACUGUUUCAGAACGUACUUACACAUGGGGUGGGACGAUUUUCUUAACUAAUACUUGUGACUACUCCACAGCAAAGCUGGAAACAAAAGUAUUGGGUGAGCUAUCUUCCAAAAUCUGGAGAUGGUUUCGGAGAGAGUUUCAUUGCCAUAAAUUUAAAGGGGGAUUGGAUUUACUCAGGAAAAAUUACAAGUGAGCGUAGGAGAUAAACUAGUAAAUGCCAUAUUUGGCCCACCAGGCACAAAGAAGGGUUAUAAUUGGCUCCUUUAAGUCCUAUAUGCAGAUAUCAAAUCCCUAUACUUGCUCUUUAUUGCAUAGAAUAAAUUUACCUCACUCCUUACUUUGAAACAUGAAAUGAGGAUCAAAUUAUAGUUUCAAUUAUUGCAAAUAGUUGUACAAAUGAAAAGAUUGUCUUAUUGUGGGCAUUACACAAACCCACCAAGGAAUAAGUAAUCUUUAAAUUCUAUGAAGUGAUUUGUAAUCUGAUACAGUAAGAAAAAAAAAUCUCAGACUUUGAUUAAUUACCACCACGCUCACCGCUAUAUCACUGUCCAAUGUCAUCAUAAUUUCACUGCCACUUAAAACUACACUUCAGCCAUAGAAAGCCAAAAAAUUAGGCACUGGUGACCUGUCCAAAAGAAAAAAAAAAAAAAAGGAACAGGAAGUGGAGAAAUACCACCUCAUAAAUUUCACCCAACCACAUUUAACAGCCACCUGGAGUUCACACCAACUCACUUGGAUCUCCUAUGACGAAUAUGCCUCUAUCACAAUGUUGAGGCCACUGAGUUUCUCAUGUACUAAAAUUUGGCUUAAUGUGGUUACUCUUUCUCUCUGGGAGUUUUAAGAACAACUUCAUGGUCAUAAUAUUCUCUUUAAUAAAUAUGAUUCAUCUGAAUGUUAGAUUCCCGUUUAACUACCACAAUCUUCAGAAGAAAAGUUAUAGCUCUUACUGACUUCAGAAGCUGCUCUGGAUGACUUUAUAAUUUAUCAUCCAAAUGGAAGACGUUUGAGAGCGAAAGGAUACACUAAAAUAAUUAAAUGUAUACAAUUUUUGGAAAAUGUUUAUUGCUUAAAAAUAUUGUUUAUUGUAUGAAAUUUUGUAUAUUUAUAUUCAUGUGUCUGUAAAAACAAUUCUAUUCAAAAAUUACUUUAAAAAUUCUUUAAAGAUACAAAUAUAUUUGUAUACUUUAAAACAGGUUGAAAUAUUGAUUAUAUAAACUAUUAGAAAGUUACAUAAGCAGAAAGAAUAUUACCUGCACAUAUUUAUGUGCUUUAAUCUGCUCCUUAGCUGAAUCUGUCUCUAAUGUGUUUUUUAAAAAAUAUUUUUAAAUUAUUUUUAUUUUUCCUAUAAAAUUGUCUGAAAUAUUUGAAAUUUGAAAAUUAAAAUUCUUCAUUUAAAAAUUUGAAGUCACUGAUAUCCUUACUCACUAGACACAUCUUUGUAAAAGAACCAAAAAAAUAAAAUAUCUGUAAAUGUCCCAAGGGAACUGCUUAUCUCCAAAUAAAUUCUGCUAAAUGUGAUAUUAUCUCAAUUUCAAUUUAUUUUAAGCUGAAAUGCAUAAAUGUUUCAGCCCAAAUAUUUUCAUGGGCACUGCCUCUUUUGCCUCCAUGUAGCACAGCUUCUUCCAACAAAUUUUUUUUAAGACAACACUUGUCAAAAAAGUUGUAUCUAUUUAUAAUAUUUUUGAAAACUUCACCAAAUUAAAGCGCUGAAACAUUGUAGGCUUUGUCAAUUUUCUUUCAGUCUGAUACAAAAUACCAUUUAUCCAAUUAAAAUUAGGAAAUCAACAAAUUCUUUCCACAAGUCAGAUGUUCCAAAGCUGUUAUGUAAUUUCAAAACUAAAUGUUAGAGCCUCUUGUGAGCUCAUUCUGCAGUUCGUUCAGCUUCCCCUUGCUUUUGUAGAGAUAAAUGUUUUCCUGCCUGCAAGAUAUUGUCUUCAAUAUUUUCAGUUUGCAGAAAGCUUCAACCAGAAGUUGCUGUUUUUUCUUGCCACACCAUUUUUAAAUGCGUUGUUUAAAAAUUUUUCAGCCGAUUUUGCAUACAGUGCAACCAAAAGUUAGAUAACUCAUUUAUCAAAAUAUGAAUAUUAUUGUAGGACAUUAAGGUUGAUUUAGAAAGUAGUUAUUCAAAUGAUCAAACAUUCCUAAAAUCUUACUGAUGAGAGGCUGCAGAAAAAGCAUACCGUUAUGCUGGAGAUUUUUAAAUUCAAUAUUAGCUUUAUCACAAAAGUUUAAUUAUUCCAAUUGUGUAGAUAUAAAAAUAUUUAUGGAUUUUGACAUCUUUAGCUUCUAUUUCAAUUAGUAGAUUUUUUUAAUUAAACUUAAGUUCUGGGAUA